rnacentral:rRNA from 1 species
UACGUAGGGGGCAAGCGUUGUCCGGAUUUACUGGGCGUAAAGAGCGCGUAGGCGGAGAUCUAAGCGUGGCCUGAAAGCCCCCGGCUCAACCGGGGAGUGCGGCUGCGAACUGGGUUUCUUGAGGACGAUAGAGGAGAGUGGAAUUCCUGGUGUAGCGGUGAAAUGCGUAGAUAUCAGGAGGAACACCCGAGGCGAAGGCGGUCAACUGGCCUCAUAUUGACACUCAGACGCGAAGGCAUGGGUAGCGAACGGG